UCACCCCUCAAGCCCUCGGCUUGGUGUUGGACUUCGUUGCAGACUCCCCUGCAACGAGCCCCAAAGACAGUGACGCCGUCCCAGAGGGAACCGGUACGAGGAGCUUCCAGUUAAGCAUGUACGCGGGACGACUCUGCGGGCGGCGGUCUUUUACUUAUUUUUCCAAG
rnacentral:misc_RNA from 1 species